GAUGCCAAUCCACAUCUGAGCCUUCCUGGGAAUGUCCAAACUAACCUGUAAACAAUGGUGUUGGCCAGCAAAAAGCUGAAUCAUUCAUGAACAGGUGACUUGCUCAGGUGGCUACAAAAUCGAUCUUGUUGCUGUGAUUUUGCACAGAAGAACAAAGGGGUUUCCACCCCCAAGAGAGAGAAUAUAAAAGGCCCUGGAAGCCUUUCCAUUUUGUCUUCAGCUGGCUCAAGAGAUGGCCUCUCCACCCCAAAGAGGUGCCUGAAAGAAACUGGAACAAAGGACUGUAACUACGGAGGUGUGAGUGAUUGUUGGACCCAGGCCAUAACCUACAAUAUUGGUCUGAAAAGGAUUGAGCUCAGACUAGGAAGGA